GUAGCUAAUACCGAAUAAGGUCAAUUGAGGUGUUAAUUGAUGAAAGGAAGCCUUUAAAGCUUCGCUUGUAGAUGAGUCUGCGUCUUAUUAGCUAGUUGGUGGGAUAAGAGCCUACCAAGGCUAUGAUAAGUAACCGGCCUGAGAGGGUGAUCGGUCACACUGGAACUGAGAUACGGUCCAGACUCCUACGGGAGGCAGCAGCUAAGAAUCUUCCGCAAUGGGCGAAAGCCUGACGGAGCGACACUGCGUGAACGAAGAAGGUCGAAAGAUUGUAAAGUUCUUUUAUAAGUGAGGAAUAAGCUUUGUAGGAAAUGACAAAGUGAUGACGUUAAUUUAUGAAUAAGCCCCGGCUAAUUACGUGCCAGCAGCCGCGGUAAUACGUAAGGGGCGAGCGUUGUUCGGGAUCAUUGGGCGUAAAGGGUGAGUAGGCGGAUAUGCAAGUCUAUGUGUAAAAUACCACAGCUCAACUGUGGAACUAUGCUGGAAACUGCAUGACUAGAGUCUGAUAGGGGAAGUUAGAAUUCCUGGUGUAAGGGUGGAAUCUGUUGAUAUCAGGAAGAAUACCAGAGGCGAAGGCGAACUUCUAGGUCAAGACUGACGCUGAGUCACGAAAGCGUAGGGAGCAAACAGGAUUAGAUACCCUGGUAGUCUACGCUGUAAACGAUGCACACUUGGUGUUAAUCGAAAGGUUAGUACCGAAGCUAACGUGUUAAGUGUGCCGCCUGGGGAGUAUGUUCGCAAGAAUGAAACUCAAAGGAAUUGACGGGGGCCCGCACAAGCGGUGGAGCAUGUGGUUUAAUUCGAUGAUACGCGAGGAACCUUACCAGGGCUUGACAUAUACAGGAUAUAGUUAGAGAUGACUAUUCCCCGUUUGGGGUCUGUAUACAGGUGCUGCAUGGUUGUCGUCAGCUCGUGCCGUGAGGUGUUGGGUUAAGUCCCGCAACGAGCGCAACCCUUAUUGUCUGUUACCAGCAUGUAAAGAUGGGGACUCAGACGAGACUGCCGGUGAUAAGCCGGAGGAAGGUGAGGAUGACGUCAAAUCAUCAUGGCCCUUAUGUCCUGGGCUACACACGUGCUACAAUGGCCUGUACAAAGCGAUGCGAAACAGUGAUGUGAAGCAAAACGCAGAAAGCAGGUCUCAGUCCAGAUUGAAGUCUGAAACUCGGCUUCAUGAA
rnacentral:rRNA from 1 species